GAGGGUAUAGCUCAGUGGCACAGUGCAUGCGUCACAUGCAUGAGGUCCUGGGUUCAAUUCCCAGUACCUCCG